rnacentral:sRNA from 1 species
UACUUGCGUAAGCGAUAGCAAUGACAUCCUUUUUAUAGUUUUAAAAAAACCGUAAAAAGAUAUAAUGGAUAGCGCGACCCAAA